CAGAUCUAUAUUUGCCCUACAGGAACUAGCAGUGGGGGAUCAUGAUUUAAUAGAACACUUUAAUUACAACUCAAGUCAGGUCCACUAAGCUGAUCUUUUUAAGACUACCUCAGGAAGCAGCUGGCCUAUUGCUUCAGUCUCCUCUCUGCAAGCCAUAGCAAUAUCAGUCGCAUCCUCAGYAGUUCGUGGGAAAGAUGUAGUCAAGCCAAAAAGAGCCUUCAGGAUCUAAUAGAAAAGCAAUGCAAGUGUCCCUAUUUAAAGCUGCUUCUACUGG
rnacentral:lncRNA from 1 species